AAAUUCAAGUCAAAGUAAUGAAAAUCAUGUCAUAUUAACAAUCAUGCAAGUCAAAACAUGAAUAAAGGAAAACUCUUAUGUACUUUAAACUUUAAAUUUAUAUGAUAAUGCCAUAACUUCAAGAAUAUGAGAAUUUGGCUAUGAACCCUAAUUGAAAUCAUAUAAAUUCAACUUUAAAACCAAGUUUUUAGGCAUAAGGAUGAAAGAUUAUCCUUUCUCAAACCCCACAUACCUAGAUUUGCUUGACUUCCUUGAAGGAAAUUUAGACUUGGAGACUUGAGCAGUGAAUUUGAAUAAGAAAUCCUAGACUUAUUGUUCUUAAGAGUGGGAGAAGAAAGGACAUCUUUAACUGACUAAGAAUAGGGG
rnacentral:lncRNA from 1 species